AUAUCAUGAUGAAGAUAUCUUCUGAGUAAGUCUUUAAAUAUUUCCCAUACAUUAUACAAACUUUCGUCUUCAAGUUGAUGGAAAGAUGUUAUUUCAUUCCUCAAUUU
rfam:Citrus sinensis cultivar Ridge Pineapple sweet orange scaffold09991_contig_1, whole genome shotgun sequence.